AGCAGCCGCGAUAAUCCCAGCUCCAAUAGCGUAUAUUAAAGUUGUUGCAGUUAAAAAGCUCGUAGUUGAAUUUCGGGAUCGGCAUGUUGGUCGUGCCUUACGGGGUAUGAACUGGCAUCGCCGGUUUCUCACCUUCUGGAGAAUCGUGAUGCUCUUAAUUGGGUGUUACGUGGAUCCAGGACCUUUACCUUGAAAAAAUUGAGUGUUUAAAGCAGGCAUAUUGCUCGAAUACAUUAGCAUGGAAUAAUAAAAUAGGACGGUUUGGUUCUAUUUUGUUGGUUUCUAGGAUCACCGUAAUGAUUAAUAGGGAUAGUUGGGGGCAUUAGUAUUCAAUUGUCAGAGGUGAAAUUCUUGGAUUUAUUGAAGACUAACUACUGCGAAAGCAUUUGCCAAGGAUGUUUUCAUUAAUCAAGAACGAAAGUUAGGGGAUCGAAGACGAUCAGAUACCGUGUAGUCUUAACCAUAAACUAUGCCGACUAGGAAUCAGACGAUUGUUAAUUUUUUAAUGUACUCGUUUGGC
rnacentral:rRNA from 1 species